rnacentral:rRNA from 1 species
AUACGGAGGGUGCAAGCGUUAAUCGGAAUUACUGGGCGUAAAGCGCGCGUAGGCGGUUAUUUAAGUCAGAUGUGAAAUCCCUGGGCUCAACCUAGGAACUGCAUCUGAUACUGGGUAACUAGAGUUUUGGAGAGGUAAGUGGAAUUUCCGGUGUAGCGGUGAAAUGCAUAGAGAUCGGAAGGAACACCAGUGGCGAAGGCGACUUACUGGCCAAAAUCUGACGCUGAGGUGCGAAAGCGUGGGUAGCAAACAGGAUUAGAUACCCUAGUAGUCC